AGGACGAACGCUGGCGGCGUGCUUAACACAUGCAAGUCGAACGGUAAGGCCCUUCGGGUACACGAGUGGCGAACGGGUGAGUAACACGUGGGUGACCUACCUCGUACUUUGGGAUAAGCCUGGGAAACUGGGUCUAAUACCGAAUAUGACCGCGCAUCGCAUGGUGUGUGGUGGAAAGCUUUUGCGGUACGAGAUGGGCCCGCGGCCUAUCAGCUUGUUGGUGGGGUAAUGGCCUACCAAGGCGACGACGGGUAGCCGGCCUGAGAGGGCGACCGGCCACGACUGGGACUGAGACACGGCCCAGACUCCUACGGGAGGCAGCAGUGGGGAAUAUUGCACAAUGGGCGAAAGCCUGAUGCAGCGACGCCGCGUGAGGGAUGACGGCCUUCGGGUUGUAAACCUCUUUCAGCAGGGACGAAGCGAGAGUGACGGUACCUGCAGAAGAAGCACCGGCCAACUACGUGCCAGCAGCCGC
rnacentral:rRNA from 1 species